GCAGUAGCUCAGUGGUAGAGUAUUUGCCUUCCAUGCAUAAAAUCACAGGUUCAAUCCCCAGCAUCUCCA